rnacentral:rRNA from 1 species
UCCGUAGGUGGAUAAUUAAGUCAGAGGUGAAAUCCUGCAGCUCAACUGUAGAAUUGCCUUUGAUACUGGUUAUCUUGAGUCAUUAUGAAGUGGUUAGAAUGUGUAGUGUAGCGGUGAAAUGCAUAGAUAUUACACAGAAUACCGAUUGCGAAGGCAGAUCACUAAUAAUGUACUGACACUGAGGGACGAAAGCGUGGGGAGCGAACAGGAUUAGAUACCCUGGUAGUUC